rnacentral:rRNA from 1 species
AUGACGGAGAGCGAGAUCAAGCAGAACACGGCAGCUGAAACCCUAAACCCUAGCUCAGCCCUCUUCAGCUCCGUGAGCCGUACUCUAUCUGGGACCCCUCUAAGGAGCCAUCUCUUGGAGCCCACUCCGACUUUGCCUCCGCCUCCGCCCCCGCCGCCGCCGGCGACUGACUCGGUGACUACCGCAGGUGCUACCUUGUCGGCGGCCGGCUUGCCCUCCGUUGCCACGGGGUCCUCGGCCGAGAGGAGCUUCGCUACGGUCAGGGCCGACUCCUUCUGCGGAGAUCCGGUCGGGGAUUCAGCCAUGACCGCGUCCUUCUGCGGCGUCGGCGGCAUCACUGCUUCGUUUUGGGUUAGCGCAAGGGCUAGCGCCAUGUUCUCCGAUUCGCCGGGCGCUUCAUCUGCCUCCUGCUCCGGUUUAGCUUCCGGAGACGCCGGUACUGGUGGAGGUGGUGCUGCUGGAGCGGGAGCGCGAGCGGGAGGAGGAGGGGGUGUCCGCCGCGGCGCGGAUGUUUGGUUCCGACGAGGGAGGGGAGGAGAAGGAUCGGUGGUGGAAAGAGGUGGAUGCGUUGGAGCCUUUGGAGGCGAGGGAGGCGACGGUGGAGAGGAAUCGCCGGCGCCAUCCGGCGGCGGAGCAGUAACUGUUGGUGCAGCAGGAAGGGGAGGAGCUGGGGUUGGGUUAUCCGGCGAGAGGGGAAAGGGGCCGGUAGAUGGCGCCGGAGCAGUAGUUGUAGGUGCAGCAGGAAGGGGAGGAGCUGAGCUUGGGUUAUCCGGCGAGAGGCGAAAGGGGUCGGUAGCCGGAAGCUGUGAUGGGGGCGAAGAAGGAGGAGGUGGUUGUGCCUCCGCGGCCGGCUCCGGUGGCGGUGAGCGGACUGGGGAGGCCAUGGAGGAGCUGCUCGUUUUUUCCAUGGCGGCGGCCGGCACCUGGUGGCUGUGGGAUGUGUGCCAGUGUGGUCUCGUGCUCCAGUGGGAGUAUGGCGCAGGCGACUGA